rnacentral:rRNA from 1 species
UACGUAGGGGGCGAGCGUUGUCCGGAUUUAUUGGGCGUAAAGAGCGUGUAGGCGGUUCGGUAAGUCUGUUGUGAAAUCCUGAGGCUCAACCUUGGACGUGCGAUGGAUACUGCCGGGCUAGAGGAUGGUAGAGGCGAGUGGAAUUCCCGGUGUAGCGGUGAAAUGCGCAGAUAUCGGGAGGAACACCAGUAGCGAAGGCGGCUCGCUGGGCCAUUCCUGACGCUAAGACGCGAAAGCUAGGGGAGCGAACAGG